rnacentral:misc_RNA from 1 species
GAUGAAGAACGUAGCGAAAUGCGAUAAGUAAUGUGAAUUGCAGAAUUCAGUGAAUCAUCGAAUCUUUGAACGCAUCUUGCGCUCCUUGGUAUUCUGAGAAGCAUGCCUGUUUGAGUGUCAUUAAAUUCUCAACUACACUGACUUUGAAUUGGUGUGGCUUGGAUUUGGGGGGAAAAUUGUUGUGGGCUUUUUGUAUAGUCUGCUCCCCUGAAAUUGAUUAGCGGUACCUUUGUGGAACUGUCUACAGGUGUGAUAAUUAUCUACAUCUUAGACAUCUGCUGGAAUGCUGCUCUCUAAACCUUACUUGUAUUGACAAUCUUGACCUCAAAUCAGGUAGGACUACCCGCUGAACUUAAGCAUAUCAAUAAGCGGAGGA